rnacentral:lncRNA from 1 species
ACAUAUAUAUUUUCACAUGGAAGUAAUUAACACAGGGACUACAGAACACACAUAAGCACACAUAUGCGAACAGGGUACUACACCAUGAUUCAGGUUACACAAGUAAUCUAAUUAUACAAGCCACUUGACUAGUAUCACAGAUCAACAGAGUAGUAUUGAACAACUAAAAAUAGAUAGUAGAAGUAACUAGUACAGGAAGCAAGUACUCUUAGAAUCUGAAUGUUAUAGACUACACAUCUCAAACUACAGAAAAUUCAGAGAAGAGAAGGAGAAAGAGAGAUGGCAGCAGGAGAUUAGAGAAAGAAGCAGCAACAGGGACGUGGAGAGAGGGAGCAGCAGCAGUACUGGGGAUAGAAGAAGAAAGAGAAGCAGCAGGAGAUUGAGGGCAUCAGCAGCAGCAAGAGAAAGGAUUGAGGGGAGAUCAGGGGCAGCAGCUAGAUGGCGCAAGUGGGAGCAGCAACAAGGAGAAGUUCAGAGAAGAAGGAGCAGCAAGGGGUCGCUGGAGAGGAGCAGCAGCAGGUUGAAGAUUAGAGUAGCAGCAGCAGGGGCAUCAGGGAGAGAGAAGCAGCAGCGUGGGUUGAGGGCGAGCAGCAGCAGGUUGAAGAAGGAGGAGCAGCAGCGACUUGGAGUUGGGAGAUGGAGAAGAGGGAAGCAGCAGGGGGCGGUGAGAGAAGAGAGGAGCAGUAGCAAGGGGAGAAGAAGGGCAGCAGCACAGGGGCGCAAGGAAGAGCAGCAGCAAAGGUAAGGGAAGAAGGACUCACGCGGAGGUUCAGACGCCCGCAUCCUCGUGUCUGAUGGGACGUGCGAGUGGUGAUGGUGGAGUGGUGGCGCUGGUGAUGGUGGAUGAUGGCGCUAGGUGGUGAUUCGGCGUUGGUGGAUGGAGAUGGGUGAUGUGGUGCUGGAGGUGGGUGUGCUUGUGGAUGGAUGGGUGGCGGAGGCGCACCACCACACCGGCCUGGCCGUGGCGGCGGCCGGUGGUGGAGAAGAAGGGGAGAGGGAGAGAGAUGAGAUGUGCCAGGCCCGAAGGGACCCAAUGAUGCGGCUAGGGAGUUUGUUCCCCUCUCUGAUCUGCCACUUUUC